UAGGUCAAAGGUUCAUCAUUCUCAAUGAUGUGGGUUUCAUUAUUCUCAAUAAUGAACCCAUACCUUAGAGGUGCAUUCUGCACUCUAUCCAACCUUCGGAGAGGAGGUGUAUCUUGUGGUUAUACCUCAUUAAUGGAUAUUUCUGAUUGAGGAUUAUCUUGUGCUUCUAUUUGUAGGUCUUGAACUUCUCCAAGUUCAAUUUUCUUACCAC
rnacentral:lncRNA from 1 species